rnacentral:tRNA from 1 species
GGCCAGGUAGCUCAGUCGGUAGAGCAACGGACUGAAAAUCCGUGUGUCCCCAGUUCGAUUCUGGGCCUGGCCA